UUAAAUUAUAAUUCACUAUGACUUUUUGGGUUAACAAGAAUAUUCCAAGGAUUCAAUUCACAUUGCGUGUGUAGAUUCAUUCACCCAAGUAUCUGCCCAUGAUUCCGUCGCAACCAUAUUCUCCAGAACAAACGUAGUAAUCAUGAUACAAUACACAUCACAAUCAUUUUAUAAAUUAAUACCAUGUUGUUAUUAUACUUGUCCAUAGAUUUCGCAUUGCAUUAUUAUUGGCAUUAAAGUGUAUAUAUUUAAAUAACUACAACAGUGAUGAUGACCUCUUUCGGCUGCAAAAUUAUAAUAUGAUUGCUUCAAACACAAUUAAUGGAUUAAUUUCUGUUGAGUGAAAGGAUUUAAACAUAUCUAAUAUAAAUUAACCAAACAGUAUAACAAAAAUAGUUUACAUGUUAACAAAAGUUACAUGCACACAUAAUUACACCAAAAUAGGUGUCUUUGUAUGGUUAAAUCACCAGUUUAUUUUACAUACGUAGAACUUGAGCUUUCUGCUCGUUCCUAUAGAUGCAAUGAAACCGUAACUAUUUCUUUCAAAACUAUAUCAUAUCCAUAUGUAUCAUGUAUAUAAAAAAAAAAAAAAUUCAAGUGGGGAUAUAAUGUGAGUUCUUUAUCUUUAAGGAUAAGUUUUACAUAAAUGCCAACUGUCUAUACAUAUUUAAUAACAACAUCAAGAGGGAUUUAGAUUGUAUUGAUCAUGAACAUACAUGUGACGGC
rnacentral:lncRNA from 1 species